ACUCCUACGGGAGGCAGCAGUGAGGAAUAUUGGUCAAUGGGCGCAAGCCUGAACCAGCCAUCCCGCGUGCAGGAAGACGGCGCUAUGCGUUGUAAACUGCUUUUCCAGGGAGAGAAACUUGCGCACGUGUUGCGCAAUUGACGGUACCCUGGGAAUAAGCAUCGGCUAACUCCGUGCCAGCAGCCGCGGUAAUACGGAGGAUGCGAGCGUUAUCCGGAUUCAUUGGGUUUAAAGGGUGCGUAGGCGGACUAUUAAGUCAGUGGUGAAAUCCUGCAGCUUAACUGCAGAACUGCCAUUGAUACUGAUAGCCUUGAGUUUGGUUAAGGUAGGCGGAAUGUGUAAUGUAGCGGUGAAAUGCUUAGAUAUUACACAGAACACCAAUUGCGUAGGCAGCUUACUGAGCCGACACUGACGCUGAGGCACGAAAGCGUGGGGAUCGAACAGGAUUAGAUACCCUGGUAGUCCACGCCGUAAACGAUGAUUACUCGCUGUUGGCGAUACACUGUCAGCGGCUAAGCAAAAGCAAUAAGUAAUCCACCUGGGGAGUACGGCCGCAAGGUUGAAACUCAAAUGAAUUGACGG
rnacentral:rRNA from 1 species